rnacentral:rRNA from 2 species
UACUCCUACGGGAGGCAGCAGUAGGGAAUCUUCCACAAUGGACGAAAGUCUGAUGGAGCAACGCCGCGUGAGUGAUGAAGGUUUUCGGAUCGUAAAACUCUGUUGUAAGGGAAGAACCAGUACGUCAGGCAAUGGACGUACCUUGACGGUACCUUAUUAGAAAGCCACGGCUAACUACGUGCCAGCAGCCGCGGUAAUA